ensembl:lncRNA
GGUUAGAGUGUUGGACCAGUAACCAGCAGGUAGCCUAGUGGUUAGAGCGUUGGACCAGUAAACAGCAGGUAGCCUAGUGGUUAGAGCGUUGGACUAGUGGUUAGAGUGUUGGGCCAGUAACCAGCAGGUAGCCUAGUGGUAGCCUAGUAGUUAGAGUGUUGGGCCAGUAACCAGCAGGUAGCCUAGUGGUAGCCUAGUGGUUAGAGUGUUGGGCCAGUAACCAGCAGGUAGCCUAGUGGUUAGAGCGUUGGACCAGUAACCAGCAGGUAGCCUAGUGGUCAGAGCGUUGGACCAGUAACCAGCAGGUAGCCUAGUGGUUAGAGCGUUGGGCCAGUAACCAGCAGGUAGCCUAGUGGUUAGAGUGUUG